AUUGAACGCUGGCGGCAUGCUUUACACAUGCAAGUCGAACGGUAACAGGGAGCUUGCUCCGCUGACGAGUGGCGAACGGGUGAGUAAUGCAUCGGAACGUACCCAGUCGUGGGGGAUAACGUAGCGAAAGUUACGCUAAUACCGCAUACGUCCUGAGGGAGAAAGCGGGGGACCGUAAGGCCUCGCGCGAUUGGAGCGGCCGAUGUCGGAUUAGCUAGUUGGUAGGGUAAAGGCCUACCAAGGCGACGAUCCGUAGCGGGUCUGAGAGGAUGAUCCGCCACACUGGGACUGAGACACGGCCCAGACUCCUACGGGAGGCAGCAGUGGGGAAUUUUGGACAAUGGGCGAAAGCCUGAUCCAGCCAUGCCGCGUGAGUGAAGAAGGCCUUCGGGUUGUAAAGCUCUUUCAGACGGAAAGAAAUCGCAUCUUCUAAUACAGGGUGUGGAUGACGGUACCGUAAGAAGAAGCACCGGCUAACUACGUGC
rnacentral:rRNA from 1 species